UCCAGCCCAGCCCAAGGAAUUAUCUGGAACAUGUUCUUCCCAACACUCUAGAACCUUCUCUUUUCUUCUCUAGUUCGAGGAGGAAAUAUUUAUUCAAUUAUUUCGAUAAAUUCCGGAUUUUCCCUACUAGUUUCUAGCACUUUCGACGCAUUUCCUAUAAUUUUCACUUCUCCUGACUGCUAAUUUCACCCUAGUUUGCUGCAAUUGUUGCCUGGUUGUCGAACAACAUCCGUGAAAAGAGAAGCAAAUGGCGGAAGAAUUAUCGCUGGAUUUGGAGGAGCUCAGGGAACUUCGAAGCAUAGCAAAGAGACCUCGAGUCCUUAGUCUGAUUUCCACUGAGAUUCGUACCUUGGAGAAGGUCUUCUUUCUUUUACUUUUUUUUUAACUCUUUUCCCUUUUGCUUAUUUCGUUUCAUCUUUUUUUGUAUGUUUCGCUGCCAAUGACUUUUUCUAGUUCUUAAACAAGAAAAAAAAAAAAAAACCUUCGUAUAUACGUCUCUUGGUGUAUAUACAGAUUUUCUUUUAUGCGCAUUUUGUAUUUUGAUUAUGAGCGUAUCAGGUGUUGUUGACGGGUUUUCUUUGUUUGGUUUACUUUUUAUCAUUUCUCUAAUUGAUUUAUUUCUUGUGUCUGGAUAGUUCUUAGUUCUCUCGGCUAUCAGUUGUGUCAUUGUUUCUGGAAGUUGAAUAAGUUAGCGAAAGGUUUUUAUAUGAAAAAUAAUAUUAAAGGUUUGUGAAGAGAAAAGGAAUAGACCAAGUUGUAGAGACAUGAUUAGGAAUUUCUUAGAAAGAAAUGAAGAAAAUGUAAAGUUGUGUGCUGUUGCGAUUAAAGUUCACUGGAUUAAUCAUUUCAUGGUUAGAAGAACGAUAGAGGUAUAUGUCUACGAUGUAUGUUUAUAACCUAAUUUGCUUCUUUAUCGAUAAAAGUAAAAACUUUUUUGCAGGAAUACGACAUCUGUUAAUCAUAAUAAAAUGUGUGCUUUAGAUGUGGAGCCUGCUUGUACGAGUAAAUAAAACAAUUUGCUGUGUAGUAGGAAAUUUCAGUUGCUUAUAGUAAUUCACUUUGAUAAGUUGAUCAUUGUAUGAGGAGUCUAGUUGACAUGAUACUGUUGAAAUGUGAUGCCUGAGCUUGAGAUGACGUCAAACGAGCGUAUCGGUCCAUUCCGUAUUCCCGUUCUCUUAUAAAGAAUGGGUCUCUUCCCCUGCCCUCGUUGUCUCUAUCGAUCUCACAAGUCUCUCUGGUAUAGGCAAGGGCUUAUCUGUGAAUGAACCCAUUCCUCUCCCCCACAACUCCCUCCUUCUUCUUUAUGUCGGUCUUUGUUUUGUAGCUGAGGUUGAAAGGUGGGAAAGUCCCCGUCUUGACUGACAAACUGCCAAAAUGCCCUUGUUUGGGUCAGCUCUUUGGGGGUCAAGUCUUUUGACAAGUUUUCCUGAGGCUCCUUUUCUUAGUAAAGGCUUUUCUUUGUGGUCCGUGAGGGGUCUAGCCUCGUGAGCCUUUCCAAACGUCCACUAUGGAUACUGUCUCCAACUUAUAUGUUAGUAUAUCCUCUCUAGUUUUCUUUUGUUUACAUAAUUAAAGUAACCAUCUUGCUGGAAAACCCUGUCAGACCACUGACUCAUGAGGUGGCCAGAAUAGACCCAGAUACUGAGGUUGUCAGAGAUGUAGAAGCAGAGAGGAAUAAUCAGAGAGAAAAGACGAGAGGAAAUAGAGGAAUGUCCUUGCUUGGGUCAGCUCUUUGGGGGUCAAGUCUUUUGACAAGUUUUCCUGAGGCUCCCUUUCUUAGUAAAGGCUUUUCUUUGUGGUCCGUGAGGGGUCUAGCCUCGUGAGCCUUUCCAAACGUCCACCAUGGAUACUGUCUCCAACUUAUAUGUUAGUAUNNN
rnacentral:lncRNA from 1 species